AACCCACCUACUCCAAUCCCUACCUCCACGCGGUACCGGUCGGAAGCUAUGAACAACCUUAGGGAAGAUCGGGUAACCAACCCCGGUGGGAACUUUGGUCGUAGGCUGACAGGGAAGG
rnacentral:ribozyme from 1 species